ACAGAAUGUGUAUUAUAUUUCAACUGAAAAAGCAUUAGAAACACUACUACUUUUGAGUUUCCAUGAUACAUAAAAUAUGGAGAGAGAGAGAGGGGCAGAAAGAGAAAGAAUAUCUAUUUCCAAAUUUAGAAAAAGGUAUGAGUGUUUUCCACAAUGAAAAAGCAGAAUAAGGACACUAUAAUUUAUUCUUUGCAUCUCCCACAUGCUGUUCUGUUUGUUGUGUCUGUGUAAGGGUUUCAUUACAAUUGUGCACUUCUAUGAAUUUUUGAGCAAAACAGGCCUUUGAUCUGCAACUCUGCUCACUCAAAUGCAGAUAAAUAUAUUGUUUACAGAUACAUUUUUUUCUUCUGCAUUUCCAGUUUUAUAAAUUUCAGUGGCUCUGUUUUAUUACCUGCUGUUAGCAUUUUCCAACCUUCUUUUAUGAAGACUUGACAGGUAUGGAUGAAGGGGCCUGCAGCAUUUCUGAACUCGCUUGGAAAGGUUGCCUGUCCCCAGCUGAACAAGAAGAACAAUGUAGGAGCUGAAAAUUAAUUGGUUGCCUUUGAUUUGUUUUCUUUUUCUCCUAUUUCUGUUCCUUGUCCGUUUGAAGGCUGCUCAAAUUUCAGGUGGACUGGUAAGCUGGGUGUGGAGAGCAUCUUUUGUAAAACAGCGUUGUAGGAAUGAGAACUGCAAAACAAAGUGCUCUGAACCUGUCUUUGUAUUGUGGCAGAUGCUUAUGGUUUCUUUUCAUUUUUCUAAGCAGUUUGUCUCCUAAAUACAUUUCUUUUCAUGGCAGUAAGUUUGUUUAAAAUUCUCUUUGGUGUUCUGAAAAUUGAGACACUGAAACUGCUGUUCUCUCUCUGUCCCUGCUUCCACCUUCCCUGUUGCUUCAGUUUUGCAUCGCUGUCAGUUACAGGGCACUGAGCAGGGACAUGCUGUUAGCUGAACAGCCCAAGUGAUCAUGCGGGGGGCGCAGCCUGGGUGAGAGGGUGUGGAUCAGGGAAAGCACUGCUGUAUCUGUGCCCAGCAGGCUUCAUUUUCACCAGGUGUCCACCACUGCUCAUCGCUGAUGGUCAGUGCUAGACACAGACCUUUUUGGUGUGCCCGUCUUUGUUCUUGUGAGAAUUUGUCUUUUGGAAACACGGAGACGUCUUAACUUUGUAACAUGGGAAGCCUGUGCUGAUGUGGAGUUCUUAGAUCAUUUAUACUGUGUGUAAUAUACUCGAGGUGCCAUAUUUCCUACCCUUGCAAUCCUCCUAAUGAGGGUGAAAACACGAUGGUGCAGUGGGAUCUGUCUGAUGGAGCUGCUAGGGCAAACGUUAAAUCCUUCACCAGCUCGUAAGUGCAUUGUUUGCAUGAGGGAGAAUAUGGGCUCAUACGCUGUUACUGUAUUUCUCACGCUGCACGAAGUAGCGUUUUGGUGUUGAUCUGGAGAUCAGUGCUCCAGCAGCUUUAGUCCGUGGGGGGUGCAGGGGAGCCGCCAGUCCACGCUUGCCUGUUGUGAGGCUGCUGGCCUCUCCUUUGGACAGGAGUGAGCAGAGUUACAGAUCCGUGUGGGUGUUUUGCCUGACCCGGUAUGGCCGGUCUCAUUUAAAAUAAAUUCCUAAAACUGAUUUUGAGGAUUAUUUGUGAAGAAUCUGAAGCGCUUUUGUUAGCGUCAGCCAAUGCGUAUUCAGCGUCAUGUGUGGUAUGUGAGGAUGGCAGCAUGUCUGUCGUGGGUAGCAGUGUCAGCGCCAUCCCCGUGACGGUGGAGGGACACCUCCCUGGCAGUCCAGCUCCUGAGCCAAGGGGAGGCUCAGGAUUCAGAGUCCUGCCAAUUCAGCAGCCUGGGGUCUUCAUGUGGCUUACCCUGAUAGUUCUGUAAAAUAUAGACGGGUGAUCGUAUUUACCAAUGCAUCACUACAAAUACUUGAAGAUUUAUCAACUUGUUUCCACGUGUCCCUACUUAAGGAGAUGAAAAUACUCUGAUUUCUGUAGCGGGCAUCCUAACGUGCUCUCUAAAGACUGAGAUUCAGAUCAGUCCAGGAGCUAAAGUAACAUUGAUAGUUGUAGAACUCCUUUCCCUAUUAGAUUUGAUUUAAUGCUUUACCUGAAAUUGCUGUUUUACAGCUGGCUCUCAUGUUGAAAGCAGCAGUCGUAGAUGCUCUACAUACUGAAAAAUUUUGAUGCGUUUACUGCUACUUCCUAAUGACUGCUGGUGGGAGAGCGUUUUCAGUAUUACAAAAGUGCUGCCUAAUUUCUACAGUUUGUGGUGGUGUUUUUGGUAUUUGUGUUUCAGUAGUGAUCAUCCAACCAUGCUUCAUGUGCAAUUUGACUUCUUUUAAGAAGUUAAUAAUUAUCUGUAUGUAAAAAUUGCUUAGCUCGUGUCAAGUCUGUAUGUUGUACAACAGAUUUCCAAUUUUGAGUUCUCCCUUCCUCUGAUUUCCUGUGGAAGAGCCAGGGCAUGUUCCAAAAAAUGCAGAAAAUAAAGAGCAGUACUUGUAUAACUCA